rnacentral:rRNA from 1 species
AGCCUCUAAGCAUAUCCAUAGUCGUCCGUACCGCAAACCGACACAGGUAGAUGAGAUGAGUAUUCUAAGGCGCGUGAAAGAACUCUGGUUAAGGAACUCUGCAAACUAGCACCGUAAGUUCGCGAUAAGGUGUGCCGCAGCAAUGCGGUCUCAGCAAAGAGUCCCUCCCGACUGUUUACCAAAAACACAGCACUUUGCCAACUCGUAAGAGGAAGUAUAAGGUGUGACGCCUGCCCGGUGCUCGAAGGUUAAAAGGAUGCGUCAGUCGCAAGAUGAAGCGUUGAAUUGAAGCCCGAGUAAACGGCGGCCGUAACUAUAACGGUCCUAAGGUAGCGAAAUUCCUUGUCGGUUAAAUACCGACCUGCAUGAAUGGCGUAACGAGAUGGGAGCUGUCUCAACCAGAGAUUCAGUGAAAUUGUAGUGGAGGUGAAAAUUCCUCCUACCCGCGGCAAGACGGAAAGACCCCGUGGACCUUUACUACAACUUAGCACUGCUAACGGGAAUACCAUGCGCAGGAUAGGUGGGAGGCUUUGAAGUAAGGGCUU